UCACAUGUAAAUCUCCAAAUAAUUGCUGCUACUUAAAAGAUGGAUCGGUUCUUUGUAUUAAACAUAUUGGUUUUAAAAAUGACAUUCCAGUUGUUUUGGGAAGAAAAUAUAUUGAUCUUCGACCCAUACCGACAUAUCCUUGCAAUUCACAAAAUUUGAAUAUACACAUGUUAAAUGGCGAAACACUGGAUUUAGAAGUAGUAAAUUUAACAGAAAUUUACAUAAAAGGCUUUAAAGUCUUCUUUAAUGAUAUGUACUAUGUAAUGCCUCUUCUGCAUUUAAUGUAGAAGCUAUGAAAAUUUUUAUAAGUGAUCAAAAUAUAUUUAACAUGAAGAUGUAUUACAUUAUUUUUGUUGAUGACUGGUGUUCAAUUGUACCACAUCUCUGGAUCAACGAAAUCACAAGAACUUUUAAAUGGCCCAUAAAACAAGCUAGUACAGCUAUUAAGAAAAGUCUUCCGCCCAAUAGUAGUUGGAGCACAAAGCAUUAUCGACGCAUUGCAGGGCCGUAUGACACAUAUGAGAUGGCACGACAAAUGGAGAAAAAGGCAGCAAAUAUUUCUACUUCAGAAGAUGGACAAUUUGAAAUGUUGAGUCAACCUUGUUCUCAAGAUAGAGAAAAGAGAUUAAUAAAAAACCGAAAUUUUAUGAUGAAUUGCAAGAUGAUUGUGAUGAAACAUGUGCCAAAAGAAAAACUUGUGUGCCAGAUCCUCCUUGUAAUUAUAUGCAACGUGCAAUUAAGCACAAUUUAAAUGUAUCCACUUCUAUGCGAUCUGCUAGUUGUACUUUAAUGUUCAGUGAUAUUAAUCAACAAGAACAAAAUGAAAGCUCAACAACAGCCAACAACAAUUCAUCAGGACCGAUUUCUCCCUGUAGUGCAAGCAGUAUUUGUAACUAUGGAGAUGAAGAAGUGGAUGAUCCGCCUCAUGUUAAUACUCCUCCUCUUGAAUGGGAGUUCGAUGUGGCAAUUAAUAACGAUGAAAAUGUUUGUCGUACUUGCUGCAAUUCAUGUCGUUAAAAACUGAAAUGAAAAUUAGUCAGAAAAUUAGUCAAUCAGAAGCUAGAGUGAUUCGAAAACUAAAUAUGAUUAUGAAUGUCCUUAUCAAUCCGGAAACUAAGCACGAGGUCACAAUACAAUCAAAUUUGUUGCCAGAUUUUCCACUUUCAACAAUAGAAAAAUUUCUUGAAUUUGAGAAGGAUCUACAAAACGAUAGAGACAUCCGAAAACAAUUUAAAAACUAUUUAGCUAAAAUUGGAGGCAAAUCGUUUGCCAAUAAAAUCAGAAAUAUCAUGAAAUAUACAGUUCAUGAUAAUGUAGCGAAGAUGUUGUCUUGGACAGGGCAAAAGCAAUCAAGAGGUAUACAAAAUACUUCAUUUGUCAGCAUUAUUAUAGAUUAUAUAUGUAGCACAGAAAAAUGCACUCUUACUGAUGCGCAGAAGGUUAUACAAGAGUGGUUACGGCACGCAGGAGAUCGCAUAAACUACUUAUUAAAAAAAGGAGAACAA